AAUUCGCGCCGCACAGACAAAAUAUUUCCACCAAAACACACUUUUUUCUCAAGUGAAAUUGUUAUUUUAAUAAUGCUACAGCCGCAUUUAGCUCACUUAAUGACAGAAGAAAAUGUUUUAGUAAAAAGCUCUGUUGACAACUGUCCGACAUCAAGUGAAACUGAAGGAAAAGAUGAAAAUCCGUUUAACUUCCAACCUCAAGUGAUACACCUGCCCAAAGACCAUGAGCUUUUUGAGGAUGGGGACGUUCAGAGACACAUGUACCUGCAAAACCUUUACAUCUCAGCAGCAGAUGAGGAGCCCGCUCUCAGAGUGUCAGAGUUUGCCUGCCACAUCUCUGGCUGUACAGCAACCUUUAAAACUUUGCAGGAAUAUGAGCACCACUAUAACUCACUGCAUAGACAUGUGUGUUGCACAUGCCGCCGUUCUCUCCCCACCGCUCGCCUCCUGGACAUUCAUAUACAGGAGUGGCACGACUCCCUCUUUGCUGUCCUGGCGCAGAAACAAGAUAUGUACCAGUGUCUGGUGGAGGGCUGCGGACUCAAGUUUAGGACGAUUAAGGACAGAAAGGACCACUUAAUAAUUAUUCACAAAUACCCACCAGACUUCAGAUUUGACAAAAUAAGAAGAGACAACAGGGACAAGAGGAGAGCGCUGCCCAGUGACACAGAGAUGGAAGUUGUGACUGAUGUGUGUGAGUCUGAGGGCAUGUGUGAAGUUGUCUGCGGCACUACGUCAAACCAAAGAGAUCCAGACCCCAGUGAUAUGAAUGUUUCAGAAGAAAACACUGGCCAUAUGGAGACAUCUGCAUCCACUGCUCCCGAUCCCACUGAACCGACAAAACCCCGAUACUCUUACAGGGUUCCUCCAAAUGUGUGCUUUGGUCAAGGUUCAGUGCGCGGAUUUAGAGGACAGCGAGGAAAGAGAAAAUAACACUUGUUUCAUUGAUAUUGAGUUUGGUGACACAGAGGCGCGUUCCACAUGGCGUCUGACAGAGAGCCCAGCCUACAACAUCGAGUGAUAACAGGUUUGUAAUUAUGGUUUGAAGCGGCUGGAGCCAGACGAUCCACAGGGUCCCACCGGGGAACAAAGGGGGUCUGCGGAGGCCAGGUCAAGGAGCACCGUGAGUGUACAGAGCACACUCAGACAUGGAUACAUGGCAGCGCUCUGGAAAUGGCAUCAACAUCGCAUUAGUCAGGAAUUUAUGCUAAAGCUGACUAUGCAUUUAAUGUCACAGGCAGCAUUCCAGAAAUACAGCAUUUGUGGUUA